CUAGAUACUUCCAACCUUCUUUGCAAUUAGUAUUGGCGUCUGUAGGAAUGGAAGCCCCUCUGUGGUGAACAUACUGCGGAUAUUUGUCCCCAUAGCCUACGAGAUAACUCAUCUUUGCUGGAUUGUCGCCCAAUACAUAAUUGGCCUGGGACAUGGCGAACUUUCUGAGAUCAGAUGGUGUAUACUCAUUACCAUCACAAGUCAUUUUAUCAGUCUUGGAAGUGAGCAUAUAAUCACUGUACAGCACAGCUAAGAAGGCAGAGGCUACAGGAUGCUGCAACGCGUUCCAUUCAGUUAUCCAUAUCAAACCACUAUCAGUUCUGCUGGAUGUAGCUGUUGGAGAUUUUGGUAAGAGACCACACAUUACAGCUUCUGCAGUUUUUUUGUACUGUUGAAGUGUGUCUGAGUUUGAGACUUUCGAAUUAAAGAAGCUGACCCGGGACAAAAGAACCUGAGUGCCAGCUAGUUUGUUAUCCCAGCUAAACCAAGUUGGAUUUCCAAAAUUACCAAAAGAAUCUGCAUUUUUCCCAGUCGCGUAAUCAAAAUAUAUUUGAUCCCCAGUUGCAUGAUAUAGCCAACUUGCUGCCCACAAGAGCUCAUCUCCAUAUCCAGUUGAAUUGUAAUAUGUUGCGACUUCAGGAAUAUUUUCGCUGUAGGUACCUCUAUGUUUGUCAGCAAAAGUGAACAACUGUUUAGCAUGCUUAAGCAGGUUACUUGAGUAUGCUGAGUUCUUCGACUUGAAGACCAGGGAUGCUGCUGCCAUAGCUGCAGCAGUUUCAGCUGCAACUUCUGUUCCAGGGGUAGAAGCAUUUAUCUGAAUUAGAGGCCUUGCCUCAGUCAUGUCCUCGGGUCUGUCCCAACAUUUAUGGUCAGCAUCAGCAUCACCCACCUGAAUAUAAAGAACAUCAUCUUUUGGAUGACAAUUGAUAAGAUAGUCCGUAAUCCAUUUGAGUGAGUCUUCAGCAGGUUCCAACUGGCCCACACCCUUCAUCUGAUUACCAUACUCAAGGAUGGCCCAUGACAACACAGUGGCAGUGUAAGCCAUUGGGAAAUUAAAUUUCAUGUGGUCGCCAGCAUCAUACAUUCCUUGACUGAGGUCUAACUUUUCUUGACUUCCAUCUUUGACGGCUGAAUCGCCUCUCCAUGAUAUCUUAUUAUUUACCAAUUUCCCAGAUUUUUGGACAUCAAAGAACUGCAUUGCAAUUUUCAAAGCAUCUCCAUAUUUCUUUUCAGAAGCACCAGAAGCAGCAUCUGAGCCAGAACCAUUAUGCUUCUUCAUAAAAAGUACCACAAUGGCUCCAGCAGCCGCAGCAACCACUACCAAAGCUAUAAUCCAUCCACACCAACCCCCUUUUUUUGAUUUCUCUCCCAUCCUUAUUCACCUCAACAAAUUUACCUGCACUGAUUUAAUGAUCCCGCACACACAAUGCGGGAUUAUAUGGCUGAAAAACUUGUUCUUUUAAUAUGCAAUGCAGGUGAAAAUAAUAAUAUAAACAAGAACACAAAAGAAGAAAAAGAUUGGAGAGAAUGAAGAAAAUAAUGGAGAAAAUUUAGGGUGGAAAAUGAAAAUGGUUAAAUUAAAAGAAGAGAGAUUUGAGGUAGUUGAGGGAUAGAACAGGG
rnacentral:misc_RNA from 1 species